AUGUAUCCCAUGGCGAGACAUUACAGAAACUAUUAAGUAAAAAUGAUGCCUUAAUUGCACUGGGAUGCGAAAGAAAAAUAAUCCUGCGCUUUCUGUCUUUGUGGUGGCCCAGAUUGAAUAAGGGACUACAUUU